GUAAAUGUUGCCAGUCAUUCAGUUAAGCUUUAAAAUGUUUGUUUUCAAAAGGAAAAUGUUGACUGGAAAUAUCUCGCCUUGUUCAUGUAUCAGUAAAGGUAAAGGGACCCCUGACCAUUAGGUCCAGUCGUGACCGACUCUGGGGUUGCGGCGCUCAUCUCGCUCUAUAGGCUGAGGGAGCUGGCGUACAGCUUCCAGGUCAUGUGGCCAGCAUGACUAAGCCGCUUCUGGCGAACCAGAGCAGCACACGGAAAUGCCGUUUACCUUCCCGCCGGAGCGGUACCUAUUUAUCUACUUGCACUUUGGCGUGUUUUCGAACUGCUAGGUUGGCAGGAGCAGGUACCGAGCAACGGGAGUUCACCCCGUCGCGGGGAUUCGAACCGCUGACCUUCCGAUCGGCAAGCCAUAGGCUCUGUGGUUUAACCCACAGCGCCACCCGCGUCCCCAUCAAUCAGUAGCCAUCAUGUAACACAUCAUUAGGAGAGGAUUGGCUGCUGAGCUUCUGGAUCAGGGGUAGUAUAAGAAACGGAAUAGAGAACUUUAUAUUAUCUGUAGAAGCUUGCCCAAACAUGUUGAGUUGAAUCUGACAUAUUCAAAUGAAUACUGGAUGAUGAUGAUGAUGGUGAUGAUGUUGCAAUAUGUACAUUUUUGCAGAAAAACAUUCACACAGUACUGGCAACCCCUUUCCUCCUUAUUUGCCAUUCAGGAUAUCAACCAGAAUCCCAGGCUCUUGCCCAACAUCACUCUGGGCUACAACAUCCACGAGAACUUCUUUCAUGGAAGGGUGACAUGCGGAGCUCUGGUAGACCUGCUGUCUGCUAGGCAGGCGAACGUUCCAAACUACAACUGCGGGGGACAGAAUAACCUGCUUGCUGUUCUCGAAGGGGCUGACACUCAGAACUCCAUCCAGAUUUCAAGAAUGUUGGGCAUCUAUAAAAUCCCACAGGUAGGAAUGGAGAGGGGUGUGGCAUUUUGUGGCUGAGCCAAAUUUUGGAGAAAGCCAAAAGAGGGUGGGGUAGAUGUUAAGUGUGAAUGAAGACAACUUGUUAUUAAUCUUAAUUUAUUUUUAAAAGAAGACAGAUGUUGGCAGGUUUUUUUAAUAUACCCUUUUAUAUACCCUUUCCUAAGAAUCCAUAGCAUCGAAUUUGCCAGUUUGCCGCAUACUAGGGUAACAGGAGGCAUCCACUAUAACCCCAAGGUCUCGUUCCUGGUCAAUCCAUGCCAUUUCAGCUCCAUGAGCAUAAAUGGGUACUGAGCUGGCAAGGUCUGGCAGGGGAAGAGCCCAUGAGGAGAUAGUGGAAAGUGCAUUUGGGAUUGCAGCCUUAAGUCUCUCUUUCUUUUUAAUGUACAGUGGUACCUCGGGUUAACAACUUAAUUUGUUCCAGAGGUCUGUUCUUAACCUGAAACUGUUCUUAACCUGAAGCACCACUUUAGCUAAUGGGGCCUCCGACUGCUGCCACACGAUUUCCGUUCUCAUCCUGAAGCAAAGUUCUUAACCCAAGGUACUAUUUCUGGGUUAGCGGAGUCUGUAACCUGAAGCGUCUGUAACCCGAGGUACCAGUGUAAUGACUAAAAAAGGGAUACAUGAGCAAUAAGGGUCAAUAACCAAUAGGACUGUCCUUUCAGGCAAAGCAACAGACGUUCAGGAGUGGUCAGUGUUGGAACGUUUAUCUAAUUUAGCAGAGUUUAAAUGAUUCCCUGUUUGAGUUUAUGCAGCGACUAGUGGAUUGCUAACUCGUUUGAGUCCUAUCAAUAUUUAUACAUUCCUGGCUGAUAAUCCCUUCUGUCCCUCUAAACAAAACACAUGAAUCUGAAUCAUAUUAACAUAAACUACUUCCAGUUUCAUUCAGUUUACAGAGUUGUUACUGAAGGCAGGCUGUAGUUACUUAACAGAUAAACUAUAUACUAGAUAGUAGUGAGUCAUGAGAAGACUGCAUCCGAGCAGUUACCAGUUAACACUCCUUGCAGCAACCGACCAACAGACAAACUGCCACAUAGAGGCAGUUAGUCCUCUCAGAAUGUUGGACUUGACUGACAGCUUCAUAUCCCACAGUCAGAUGGUUUGCUGUGCUCUCUUUGAAAACACCUGUCCUUCCUUCUCUUUGUGUCAAAUGGUGUGUGUGUGUUUGUGUGUGCGAGUAAAGGGGAACAGAAGUAAUGUCUGUAGUAUGGGUUGCUAUGACACUAAAUUCUGGGGCAAAUAGAAGUUGCCCUCAAGUGAACCCUGAAGUAUUAUUAUUAUUAUUAUUGUUAUUAUUAUUAUUAUUAAAAAAAUAACCCUCUUAAUAUUUUCAAACACUCUUAGUGUACCACAAAAACACAGUCUUUAGAACAAAUAACAGUAUCUUUUAUUUUCCAAAUCAUUGCAUAUAUAUUCCAGAAACAAAGGUAAUCCACACCCAACAAACUCAAAUGUGUUUUUCCCAGGGACAUUAUGCCUGUAUUCUCGUACAUAAAACAUGGCUUAUAACACUAUCCAUCUGUAAAACUCAUUUUUAUUAUGUGAUCCACAAAUCUGUAUAAAGGUUUGGAAUUGCUCUUUGGUUUUCUGGAGCAUUUGUGAACAAAAUAAACCUCCGCUAUUCUUCAGCAAAAGUGUGGUUGUGCUUUGUUCGUCUUGCCGGACUCAAUUUGUGUGUCAAUUUUUUCCAUAAGGGCAGUAUGCCAGAGUGCAGUUAUAACUGUACUUGCUGCCACUAAAAGAAUCCAAUUAGUGGUUUAUCCACCAAGUCUCAUUUAAAUUUAGAUUUAGUAACACAAGCUCUGGAGACUGAUGAGUGUUUUGACUUAUCUCAUUAAAAAAUUUUCCCCUCAAAACCGUCAAAUGGUAGCAUAAAGCAAUAUAAAAAAGAAAACCAGAAUUAAGGGAAUUCCUAGAGCUAAAAAUAGAACCUUAUCUUAUGUGUCAAGGAAAGCCUGGCAAAAGCAUUUGUCUUUUCGACUUCCAAAACGUUUGGAAACCAAAGUGCGGCUUCUGAUCGGCUGCAGGAAGCUCCUGCAGCCAAUCGGAAGCUGUGGAAGCCCCAUCGGACAUUCGGUUUCCAAAAAUGGUUCACAAACUGGAAUAGUCAUGUGACAUUCAAGAGCCAAAAUGUUUGGGAACUAAACUGUUCGACUUUCAAGGUACGACUAUAUUCAGGGUUAGCUAUAUUUUGGCUUUGAUCCAAAACUAAGUUAGCCAAUAAUGUUUAUUUUCUUGCCAGGUCAGCUAUGCUUUUGUCUCUCAUGUUCUGGAUGAUAAGAGGCAGUUCCCUUUUUUCUACCCAAUGGUCCCCAAAGAAGAAGCCCAGUACCCAGGGAUUGUCAAGAUGCUCCAUCACUUCAGAUGGACGUUCAUUGGUCUAAUUGCCCCCGACACUGAAAAUGGAGAGAGAUUCAUGAAGACCCUGACUCCUGUGCUCAUCAGGAGUGGUAUUUGUGUUGCCAUCUCACAAACCAUCUCGGUACUGAACACACAUGGAUUCGAGAUCAAUUUCCGCAAAUUCUUAAAGUGGAGACAAGCCCGUGUGUUUGUUUAUUAUGCAGAGACACUUCAUGCCUUGCAUGGAAUUUUCAUUCUACAACAUUUAUUUGAGAACUUGAUAAAGCCCACUGCAGGGGAAGUCCUGGUCACAACAGCUAUGUGGGACAUCUCCUUCGAGUUAAUGUACAGCGGCUUAUCUUACGAACACAUCCAUGGCAUUUUUUCUUUCUACACUGAAACAAAUAAAAGGAAAGAAUCUAACGAUAUUCCAUCCCUUUUCUUUGCAAUCAAGCAGUUUUGGGAGGAUGCUUUCAGUUGUUCCUAUUUAAAGCAUGCAUGGUCGGUGAAAGGCUGGAUAAGAUGCAGGGAGAAAGGAAAACAUGAGAUGCUGCCCCAAGAUGAUAUGGAAAGAAGCCUCUCUCUAGACAGCUACAGGAUUUACAACACUGUCCAAGCUUUGGCACGUGCCUUAAAUGCUGCAUAUUCCUCCAGAUCUCUGUGGCGGGUGACAGACAGCCUGGAACGUCAAAGGCUACAGCCAUGGCAGGUAUUUUUCGUUCGUUCCAUAAGAUGCACCUGACCAUAAGAAGCACCUAGUUUUUAGAGCAGGAAAACAAGAAAAAAUAUAUAUUCUGAAUGAAACAGUGGAUGUAUCAUUUUUGUGGUUCAUGCUGUGGCCACAGACAUGUGAUCUGAUGGUGAAUUUGGGGUGACCCAAUGCUAAAACCCCGAGGAUCCAUGUGGAUCCGUACUUUGUAACCACAUUUUUGCACCACUGCAGCUUGUAAAACAGUGACUGAAUUUUCCCCCAAACCUCAGGCUUUUAUAUACAUUAUUUACACAAUGAGUCCCAUCUGAUUGGCUGUUUCUGCUUCCCUCCUGGAGCCUGAUUGGUCUUUUCCUGAAGGCCAAUCAGUUGUUGCAUUCUAGGAUCCUACCUGCCUAUUGUUCUAGGAUCCAAGCUUAGUACAUAACACUUAAACUAGUGUCAGAGGACACAGCACCUCUGGAAACAGCCCCCACCACUAGAUUAGCACCCCUUUCCCUCCAGCGGCCAAUUUUGAAUAAGACUCCUUACACAUUCUGCAAGAGUUCUGCAGGGCAAGGGAGAUGCCAUUACACAGACUCACUCUGCCUCCGGACUGGGGUGCCCCUACCAAGCUCAACUUAGCUCUAGCAUAUGUCCAAGGGACUUUGGGUGUUUCUGGAGCAUGUAUUGAGUGUUUUGGUGGCUGUCAGGGGCUGGUCAGAAUCGGAUGCCAGAGACUGCUUUGACUCCGAAGAUGAAGGAAUGUAGACACAGACAGAGCAGCCUCUGACAGAAGAAGAAGGGGAGAGUUUGCCCCUCCUUCCUUCAACUUUCCCAGCAGCUGAUUCAGAGACUGUACAGUUGGGGGAAGAGCUGGAUAGCUUUGAGUCAGUAGCUAGGCAACCAGGAGGGAGGGAGUGUUUAGGAGACUUUUCAUUCAAGAGCGGCGGGGACUUUCCUCCCUCCCCUCGUACUUGAAGGUCUGAAAGGGUGUAUGGGCAACCUUUUCCUGAAGGCAUUCCUAAUUUUGAGGAGUUUAGUGAUCUAACUUGGUCUUCUCUUCCUGCCUCUGUUUAUUUCCCUUCUCCAUCUCUUGUUAAAGUUCUUUGAUGGCUGAGAACAGCCUUUUAAUGUAUAAACUGGUGGAAGGAAGAAGUGAUAAUGCAGGGCACCUUCUGACCUUCUUUGUUGUUAGACAUUGUUUGGAGGAAUGUGCGGUAUUGGAAGAGGGGACUAGCUGUGGUGUAGUGGUUAAGAGCGGUAGUCUUGUAAUCUGGGGAACCGGGUUUGAGUCUCCGCUCCUCCACAUGCAGUUGCUGGGUGACCUUGGGCUAGUCACACUUCUCUGAAGUCUCUCAGCCCCACUCACCUCACAGAGUGUUUGUUGUGGGGGAGGAAGGGAAAGGAGAAUGUUAGCCGCUUUGAGACUCCUUAAAGGGAGUGAAAGGCGGGAUAUCAAAUCCAAACUCUUCUUCUUCUUCUUCUUCUUCUUCUUCUUCUUCUUCUUCUUCUUCUUCUGAAUAAUCUGCAACUGGGCAGUUGGGCAAGCCAUACAGGCUAGCUAUCAAUAAAUCAGAUGGUUUGGGGCCAUAGCUCAGAAGCUCAUGCAUGAACUCCUGGCAGGAGGGUCAUGCAACCUUUGCCACGUCUUGAGGGCUUCCCAGUGGCAGAUCUAAGUGCUUGCUUGGUAAUGUAUAUAAUGCUUGCUGUUUAGAAUAAAAUAUUUAAUCUUUUCACUCACUUGUGUUUGUCUUGCUUCUGAAUCUCAUUAAAAGAACCACCUUGCAUUUGGCAAGACAAAGGGUUAAGGCUCAACAGAAGCACAGGGGCAGGAGAACAGGGCACUGGCGUGCUUCUUGCUGCAGAAGAGGCGGGAAUUCAGAGUGGGCAACUGAGAUCCUGAAGGAGGGUGGCUUGAUGCCGCUCUCUCUGUGUUGUUGUAAAUAAAGAGGACUAUAAACCUGUCAGAGGCUCGUUAAUUCUUAUCGCGGGUUCCCAAAGAGGAGGGGAAACUCCCAUGCCUGCCUGCAUAUCUCGCAGUGGCUCCUGUACUCAUUAUGACGGUGUUUAUAUGUUUUGGCUUAUUAAUAUGCAGCAAACCAAUCUUUUUCACAUCAUAAACAGCAGAGUUUCAUACCGUUUCCACACAGAGCAGGUAGGAGCUGUGUGCUGGAACUAUGUUUCAACCAACUGAUGCAGAGGCAAGGAAGCCUGUCCUAACCACAUAAUAAAGACAUAGUAUUUUUACAGCCUAGGGCUUGCCGAUCGGAAGGUCAGCAAUUCGAAUCCGCGUGACGGGGUGAGCUCCCGUUGUUCGGUCCCAGCUCCUGUCCACCUAGCAGUUUGAAAGCACGUCAAAGUGCAAGUAGAUAAAUAGGUACCACUCCGGCGGAAAGGUAAACGGCGUUUCUGUGCGCUGCUCUGGUUUUGCCAGAAGCGGCUUAGUCAUGCUGGCCACAUGACCCGGAAGCUGUCUGUGGACAAACGCCGGCUCCCUCGGCCUAUAGAGCGAGAUGAGCGCACAACCCCAGAGCCGUUCGCAACUGGAUUUAACGGUCAGGGGUACCUUUACCUUUUACCCUAUGUGUUGCUAGCCAGAAGUCCCAUUAAGUUCAAUGGGGGAUACUCCCAUUGUUAGUAAAUUCAGCUCCAGUCCUCCGAGCUGAUACGGCUUGAGCCCAGCAGAGUAUAAAACACCCAGAGUCCGCAACGUAUGGCUACAUUGCUAAGCUUUAUUACUAAGCUAUGCAGAGAGCAUACAAAUAUACAUCUUGUCUCUGUGAGAAGCAGAGAGCAACUCCAAAAAAAGAAACAACAGUACAAAGGAAACAGGAAACCAGUAUACGUCACAUCCCGUCUCCCUUUCCCGUGGGAAUCCACCAGUAUCUGGACUGUGGAAUGAAAACAUAGUCCUGUCACUACCAGCAGCUGCUCAGUGAGGGAAACAGAAACCAACAGGUAAGUGUGCACAGGAUGGCAGCCUAGACCUACUUACCUGGGAGUAAGCCCCAUUGGGUGCAAGUUUCAGUGCAGCAAGCGCUUGAAAAUGAUGCACAGCUUCUUGAUUCUCUACGCAGUCCAAGUCAGAGGAGAUCAAGGCACAAAAAGGUCAGAGCUGGAUAGUCAGUGUCCUUUCCCACAUUUUAAAUGCUGUUCUUUCUUUUCCCUUCCAGCUCCACCCUUUCCUGGGAAACUCCCAGUUCUACAAUUCUUCCAUGGAUGGAGUGUAUUUGGAUGAGAAUGGGCAAUUAGCAGCUGACUUUAAUGUCGUGAAUUGGCUGAAGUUUCCCAAUAAGUCCAUCCUUAAAGUGAAAUUUGGGAGUAUCAACAGACGGGGUUUGCCAGACCUACAAUUCACCAUUGACCAGGAUGCCGUUGUGUGGCCCAAAUGGCUCAGCCCGGUGGGAGAAAUCAUCUUUCAUGGUCC